AUUUGUACCUAUCUAAUGUAUAUUAUUAUAAUAUUGUACCUAAUAAAACGACGUGCACAGUCUUCUCCCGACGGGGUGUCCCGACAGAGUGAUAAUAACGACAAUAAAUUUAUUCUCUGGACCGUGAAAACGCAAUCAACGUACGAAAUGAUUUCGUCAACUUUCUACACAUCGUUGAUGUUUGGUAUUGCAAUGUUGAUUUCAUGCAGCUUCGGGCGAUUUACGACGGAACAAAUCGAUCAUUACGGAAAAGCGUGCAACGCCACCGAAGAUGAUCUCGUCAUUGUCAAAUCCUACAAGGUACCAACUUCAGAUACUGGAAAGUGCUUGAUGAAAUGCAUGAUCAGCAAACUAGGACUGCUGAACGAUGAUGGUUCAUACAACAAAACUGGAAUGGAAGCGGGGUUGAAGAAAUACUGGUCAGAAUGGUCUACGGAUACAAUUGAGAGUAUAAACAACAAGUGUUAUGAAGAAGCAUUACUUGUGUCAAAGGACAUAAUAGCGACAUGCAAUUAUGCAUAUGUAGUGAUGGCGUGCUUGAACAAGCAGUUGAAACUUGACAAUUCAACUUGAAACUCACGUUUCAAAAAGGUUAAACCUUAAUAAUUUUAAUAUGAAACCUAAAUAAUAUAUCCAUUUUCAAUACAGAAGUUUAUUUUAGUUUUGCAUAUUGAAGAGGCAACCGAAUGUACUAAAACGCUCAUCAAACGUAUAUAAUAUUAUUUUUUUAUUUUAAAAUCAUACUAUUUUUACUAUUAUGAUUACUUUUUUUACUCUUAAACAUUAUGUAUAAAACAAUUUAGAAUUUAGUUAAAUAUAAUAAACACAUAUAACAUAUAUAUACAUA